CUUUUCACAUCUGCAAGGACACUUGGAGGCAACUGCCCAAGGCCACUCUGAGGAGGGUUGAAUGUUCUUUAUUAAAAGGACUGAGGAUCAUGUGUGUUGGUGGGCCUUGGACUCUGCUCUAAGACACAUGGAGGCAACCACUCAAGGCCACUCUGAGAAGGGUUGAACGUGCUUUAAAUUAAAAGGACUGAGGAUCAUGUGUGUUGGUGUGUCUUGGACUCUGCUCUAAGGAAGCCUCUGAUUAGGGCCCGGAACCAACUUCCUUUUCGCAUCUGCAGACUCAUGGAGGCAACCACUCAAGGCCACUCUGAGAAGGGUUGAACGUGCUUUAAAUUAAAAGGACUGAGGAUCAUGUGUGUUGGUGUGUCCUGGACUCUGCUCUAAGGCCCUGUGGCUGCCUGGUGCCCUGGGAAUGGUCCGGUCAUGGGCCUCAGCCCAGGAUGAGCAGCCAACAAUGCAAUCCCACGAAGAGUGUGCGGAAGGGAGAGGUUACUUCUCAAGAUGGAGCUGCCAAAUAGGGACACUUUGGAGAGUCUGGCCUGAGAACUUUUAGUUUCAAGAAUGUAUUGCUUUGGAAAAGACAGAAUAAAAGUCCAAGCACUGCCACUUA
rnacentral:lncRNA from 1 species